AUUGAACGCUGGCGGCAGGCUUAACACAUGCAAGUCGAGCGGAGAUGAGGUGCUUGCACCUUAUCUUAGCGGCGGACGGGUGAGUAACGCUUAGGAAUCUGCCUAUUAGUGGGGGACAACAUUCCGAAAGGAAUGCUAAUACCGCAUACGCCCUACGGGGGAAAGCAGGGGAUCUUCGGACCUUGCGCUAAUACAUGAGCCUAAGUCGGAUUAGCUAGUUGGUGGGGUAAAGGCCUACCAAGGCGACGAUCUGUAGCGGGUCUGAGAGGAUGAUCCGCCACACUGGGACUGAGACACGGCCCAGACUCCUACGGGAGGCAACAGUGGGGAAUAUUGGACAAUGGGCGGAAGCCUGAUCCAGCCAUGCCGCGUGUGUGAAGAAGGCCUUUUGGUUGUAAAGCACUUUCAGCGGGGAGGAAGGCGAUACGGUUAAUAACCGUGUUGAUUGACGUUACCCGCAGAAGAAGCACCGGCUAACUCCGUGCCAGCCGCCGCAGUAAAAC
rnacentral:rRNA from 1 species